rnacentral:lncRNA from 1 species
CAGCCCUGUAGGAGACACCUCCAGAGAAAGUAACAGCUCUCAAUUGAUUAGCUGAGAAUAAACAGAUGCUUUUACAGCUCGCCUUGGCGGGAAGAUCUGGCACAAAUGAAGUAUCUAUAAGGAGCAGCAGAGUCAAGGAAGACACCAGACAAAUGAGUUACACUGUUUUGGACUCCCCAACACAACCCAGCCACCGGCUGAAUGCCACCAAAUUACCUUCUAGUUAAAGGUUUAUGGAGCAAACGAAUCACCUAUUCAAUAUCUGCUUGAAUUUCUGACUCAAAAUACAUCAGGUAUGUACUGUGUGACUUAAAUAUUGAGUUUAUUUUUAUCAAAUACCUGUCAAGAAAGAAAGUCAAUUCUGAAACAGCAGAAGCUCAAAGUUCUACAGAUGGCUUUCAAAGGAAUUUGAAUUAGACAUCAUUUGAUGUUGCAAAAAACAAUGACAUCUUUUAUAGCUCUAAACAUCAGUUUUUAAAUUAGAGAUUGAUCUAUAAA